ACCUGGACAGCUCGGGAUGGUCCCAGUGUCCCCUCACUAAGCCCCCACGCGCCUCCCAUUCCAGGGACGGAGCCGAAGCUGCUCGAUCCAAGACGCAAAGGCAGCCUGACUUCAUCUCAGCUGCCCGGCAGGAAGCGCUUUGCGGCUUGGGGCAGAGAAGAGGGGUGGCCAGUCCCUACUCCAGCAAUGUGUCGUUUCACCCCUGCCCGGCCUGCAGCCCACCCGGCCUUGGCUCUCCAGGGCGCGUGAGACACACGAAAACCCGGAACACGCCCAUAGAUUUCUCUGCAGCCGGGGACACGUGCACCAUAGACAGCUCUUUUGAAAGUCUGUUGGUGUCGGUGCAGAAAGUGUUUUCUAGUUUUAAAAGCGAUCCUGUGGCCUUGAAAUAAAAUUGACGAA